rnacentral:rRNA from 1 species
AUGCAUCCGUUUCGUGUCCCGGUGGCCGCUGCCGUGCUCUGCGCAGCCACAGUGCUGCUAAGUGCCGUCCUCACUACCCACGCCCGAAACACCACCUCCUGCGAGCCGGCGACGUGCGGGGGGCUGCGCAUCGAGUACCCGUUCUGGCUCGGCGGCACGCACCCGCCGGAGUGCGGCUACCGGGCCUUCCAGGUCAGGUGCGACGUCAACGGCACGGCCUCCCUCAACGACAACAUACGGACGUACAAGAUCCUCGACAAUCUCCUACCAGGAUAGCUCGUUCCGGGUCACCAACGUCGAGCUCUCAGACAGCACGUGCGACUUCAAGCUCCAAGUCAACGUCUCCUCCGACCUCGGCCUCGCGCCCUUCAGCAUCAGCGCCGCCAACCGGGAGCUCUUCUUCCUCUACGACUGCCGCGACCUGCAGCCGGCGCAGCAGCCACCUACGUGGGCGCCCUUGAACUGCGACAGCAACUCGUUCGCGUGGCUUGCCGGGGGUUACAAGCCCGACGACAAAUGGCCGCCGGUGCCGGGAAACUGCUCGGUGUUGAUGGUGCCGGUGCUGGGGUACCCGGGGGCGACCGGGGCGAACUACCACAGGCUGAUGGAGGGCGGGUUUCGUCUCGAGUACACGACCGGCGAGUGCACAGCGUGCAGGGACACCGGUGGGCUUUGCCGGAUCAACCCCACCUACGACAUCUUCGAUUGCCAAUGUCCCAGCGGAUUGUCUGACGGCCCCUUAAUCUGCGGUGAUCAAUUCAUCACCCCUGCAGAAAAAGGUAGCAAGGGGACUAGUAAGAUGAGUAUGCUAAUAGCUAUGACAUCAGCAGCUGGAGUCUUGCUCUUUACAUGUAUUUAUGUCCUGUUAUGGCAUAGAAAGGGGAAAAGACUAUGGUUUCUCCUUUGCAAGAAGACUAGCAGCAACACUGAAAAGAAUUACGAGGCCAUGAUAGUAUCAUAUGGAUCCCUAGCUCCAAAAAGAUACAUGUAUUCGGAGGUAAUGAAGAUAACAUCUUCUCGCAACAAUCAGCUUGGGAAAGGUGGUUAUGGUGAGGUUUCCAAAGGAAGGCUACACGAUGAUCGUCUGGUUGCUGUGAAAUUCUUGCAUGACUGCAAAGGAAAUGGGGACGAGUUUGUGAAUCAGGUUAUGAGCAUUGGGAGGACCUCUCAUGUUAAUAUUGUUAGCUUAUUUGGAUUUUGUCUGGAGGGAUCAAAACGAGCUCUUAUAUAUGAGUACAUGCCCAACGGUUCCUUGGAUAAGUUCAUUUACUCAGAGAACCCCAAAGAAUUUUAGGAUGGGAGAGGCUCUAUGCGAUAGCAGUGGGGAUUGCUCGUGGCCUCGAGUACUUGCAUCAUGGCUGUAAUAUACGCAUCGUCCAUUUUGACAUUAAGCCCCAAAAUAUCCUUCUAGACAAGGAUUUUAACCCAAAGAUUGCUGAUUUUGGUCUAGCUAAAUUGUGUCAUACAAAGGAAAGCAAGCUUUCAAUGACUGGAGCUAGAGGAACAAUUGGGUUCAUCGCUCCAGAAGUUCACUCUCGAAGCUUUGGAGUGGUCUCAGAAAAGUCAGAUGUUUAUAGUUACGGAAUGAUGCUGCUGGAGAUGGUUGGAGGCAGGAGAAAUGUAAAAUCAAUUGAUGCAAAAUCCAGCGAAAAGUAUUUUCCAGACUGGAUUUACGACCACUUUGCGCAAGAUGAUGGAUUACAAGCAUGUGAAGUCACAUCAGAAAUUGAGAAAAUUGCAAGAAAGAUGACCUUAAUUGGCUUGUGGUGCGUACAAAUAUUGCCUGCAUAUCGCCCUACCAUAACCAAAGUUCUAGAAAUGUUCGACAGAAGCUCAGAUGACAUGGACAUGCCACCAAAGCAAAACUUCUCAGGAUUGCUUGAAAGUUCAGCUCACAAUAUGGAUGUACAAAGUUCAAGUUCUAACAAAUCUGAGGAGAUCAGCCUUGUGAAUUCAAAAAUCCUACAAAAAUCGCCAGCUCUUUGA